UGGGGUGAACUGUCCAACUUUGACUGGUUACAUGAUGAGUAAAACAAAAAAUCACCAUCUUUCGGCUGACA
ensembl:snoRNA snoZ196 Small nucleolar RNA Z196/R39/R59 family